UGGACUCACGCAGCCCCAUGCUGAGCCGCUCCAGAGCCAAGCCAGAACAAAGAGCCCAUUGAGCCGCGCGGAGACAUAAUGUGGGCCGCCUCUGACAGCACCGAAGAUGAAGUCAUGAGGUCGCAUAACAGUUAAUAAUGACGGCCCAUCCUCCAGCUGCACCGAGGCAAACAAGUCGGAUGAUCACUGCCGCCCCCGAAAAAAAAAAAAAGAAGAAGCAAUUCCACUACAGCUACAUCCUGGCUGCAUCUCCACAGCGUGCACACGCCUCCAGGCAGUGGCUUACAUGCAUCGUCCAACAGUGAAGGAGCGGUGGAGCUCCAGCAGGCGGAAUCUGGCCCCGCGGAAGUGUGCCAGACGAGAGAGGGGCCGGGCCGGGCCGAGCCGGGCAGCUGAGGUCCCCCUCCGCCCUGAGUAGCGGCGAGGCUAAGCUAAUCCUGCGCCUCAGGCCCCUGUGAGGUGGCUCUGCCAAAGCCUGUCCCCCCGCUGCUGCAGGAAAUUGCCUUCGGUGCAGAAGUCCAUGAAAUGUCUCUGGCUCGCCAGUGAAGGCGAAGCACAUCCACAGUGUGUGCACAUGGGGCCACAGCGGCUUUUUCGAACCCCGAAUCUACAGGUAGAUUUUAAUACUUGACACUAUAUCUCUAAAAAACAGAAAUAUUGUGGAUAAAUGAGUGUUUUUCUUCUAUGUAUUCCUGCUUGGAUUAUAAGUUUGUAUGUAUUUUAUGCAUUAUUUAUGGGCCAUACAGGGUUCUUUUGACACUAAAAGACAGUUUUCCUG